UACGAAGGUGGCAAGCGUUACUCGGAAUUACUAGGCGUAAAGCGCAGGUAGGCGGUUCGAUAAGUCUUUUGUGAAAGCUCCCGGCUUAACUGGGAGAGGUCAAGAGAAACUGUCGAGCUAGAGUGUGGUAGAGGAUACUGGAAUUCCCGGUGUAGCGGUGAAAUGCGUAGAUAUCGGGAGGAAUACCUAUGGCGAAAGCAGGUAUCUGGGCCAUCACUGACGCUGAGCUGCGAAAGCUAGGGGAGCAAACAGG
rnacentral:rRNA from 1 species